CCAAACUAACUGCCAGAUCUGACUGUUUGAUCACUGGGUGGCAGGAGAAAGUCCAAGUACUUCAUUCUAUACAGAAUAGGUGAGAAGAUGGAGAGGAAAACAGAUGAAGGGUGUGCUGAUGGAUGGGUAAUCCAUGUGGAAUGUUGGGCUGGUUUCCCCUGGAAGAGUCAUUCACACCUUCCAUCUAAGAGACUUCCCAAAAAAAGACUUUUCAGGUGAUCUGAUCCAGUUCUGACAUUUCCAGUGUCCUGUGGGUAAGAGACUACAGUAAAGAAUGGACCUGUAGGGCUAACUCCAAUCAUUCUGCAAGGAGCACUGGCUCACCACCUGGCAAGGAUCACCUCAGUGCUUUUAAUAUGAUUCUGAGAGGGAAUCACCCAGAUCCCUUCCAUCCAAGAUUCAGCCUCAGCAAUAGCACAGACCAGAGAGAAAGGGAAGAAAACGGGUCUCUUUCUCUAGAAGUGGGAAAGCUGAGGUUUUAUGAGGUUGGUAGAGAAAAAACUAAUAGGUAAAACACAGAAACUCGCCUGUCCAAGGGGAACACAGCAGAGCAAAGGUGGGGAGCGAGGCAAACAGUCCUGGUAAUUACACCUGCAAACUCACUUUCUCAACAAGCCCCAGUAAGUAGCUCACGCAUUCAUUUACUUUGCAAACCCUUCAUAAACAGUACAAAGGUAAAUGUGCACCCAGCCCAGCCCAGAUUCAAAGGGUCACAAAUUCCACAGGGCUCAGGCCAAGUUAAUUCCAUGGUACCAUAAGGCAGGGUGCUAGGGCAGGAAGAAAAUCAAAACAGGAGGACGCCAGAGUCCACUCACUGAGAAAUUA